CGCUAGCAGUUGGGCUGCUUUAAGGUCCUAACAUUUCCGAACAGGUCCGAACAAAUAACAAAAGGUCCGAACGGCGACAUAACAAAAGGUCCGAACGUAGGUCCGAACACUUCCGAACGAAGGUCCGAACACUUCCGAACGAAAAAGACCCGGAUGAAGAAAAAGACCCGGAUGUAGCAAGCCGGCGCACAGUGACGUGGAGGAGGAGGCUUCGCGUGUCAGCCAUGUUUUCCGCCGCAAUGAAGAAACAAUCGGAGAAAGAUGACAAAAACAUGGAAGCCGAGUAGCUACUGGAAGGACAUCUGCUUCAAAUAUGCCCGGGGCCAAUUCCAUUUUUCAAUUGGUAAACAGCCAGGGUCCAAGAAAUGGAAAACGGCUUUCACCGACACCAGCGCACUUUUGUUCCAGAUACCCCCAGAAGGCUAGAACAAAGGCAUGGGUUUCAGCAGGACCAUGGAGAGCAUCCAGGUAGCUGAGUGGCUCUGCUCCUGGAUUGCAGGUGGCAGAAAGACUCUACAUGACUCACGGCCAAGCAGCCUAAGACCCUGAAGUCAACAGAGUCAGUGAGUGUUUGCCUCACACUUGUCGAAGAGUUUGAGCAAGCACACAACAGGCUGUCUCUUAAUGGCUGCUUAGGAGGGAUAAGAGGAAGGACAGGGACAUGCUGCUGCAAGGCAAUGUACUUCCCAAACAGCUGCACCUGGCCAAAGAGCCUCUCCUCCAGUGAACACACUCCCGGCUGCCCCUGUGCAACACGCACAUUAAGUCAUGACUUUUGAAGAGCCUGAAAACCAUGAAGGAGAAGCUUUCCUCCGCCAGCGCACUCUGGCAUCCUAGAAGGAACCUGUGUGUUGUACCCUCCACAGUACGGGCCAUCUCCUCCGUCCCAGUAUCCUUCAUUUUAUCAUCUAUUUCUGCACUCUCAGUUUGCCCAUUAUCCUCCAUUUACACAUGCUCCUCCAGCGCAGCAUCCUCCUCUAUUUAACAAUGCUCCUCCAGUACAGCAAGCUCUUCACCAAUAUUUGUGACUUUGUUCGUCACAUCCUUUUUGCACACAUUCAUUUGUACUUUGCUCUCUUUUAUUUAUAUGGAUGACUGGAGGAGGAAUUUGCAGUAGUAGGUGUCACCAAUAUUCGUAACUUUAUUUGUCACAUCCUGUUUGCACACAUUCAUUUGCACUUCGGUAUCUUUUAUAUUUUAUUUUUUAAUACUAUAAUAUAAUAUAAUAUAUAUUAUGAAUAUUCAUGCAAAAAAUAAAAAGAAUUGCUGUCCUUACUAUGUGGUCAUGUUAUUAUUAACUGUUUUCUCCUUGGUAAUUUGUUUUAUUCUGAAUUUAUUUUCAUUGAGAAGACAUACCUAAUAAUCAUUCAAACAUAAAAUAAUCUUGCAGAUAAUUAAACUUUUUGAAAAGAUGAGAGGAUAUAUUAUGUAAGGGCCAUCUACAUUUACGUAUAUGUACACACACAUUGUUUUGGUCGUACAAGCACUGGUAGGUCUAAUGUGCCGCACUGGAUCAGUUGGUUGUGAGUUCAAAUCCCAAAAGAAACAUGACUGUUAAAGUGCCAAAACACCUAGUGAUGAAUUGACUAUAAACAUUGUUGAGAUGAUAAAGCAAGAAAAAAUGCAAAUAGUGCAGAAUUUCCUCUUUUUUUUCUCCUUUUCUUUUUCCCUCUUCCCCCUCUUUUCCCCCUC